CUCGGGCACUGAAGGGGCCAUUGGGCUUUCCCGUCUUCUGCUUUAUUGCCGCCAAGCAAUAAAUUCGGAUCCUGUGUAUUUCUCCCUGGUAUCUCCACCUGCUCGCAAACCUUUAGCAGCCUCCUUGUGAUCUCUGCAUGCGCUGCUUUGGAGACACGGCUGCGCACACACCGACACACACACACCUCCCCUGCACCCGAAUGACAGCUACACGGAGCCAGUCAAUACCUCCCAGCCAGAGGGAACGUUUCCUCCCUACCUUCUGCUAUUGACCGUGGGUGGAUCUCUGACGCUAAUUAGAGACAGAGAAAUCCUCAAAGUAUUAACCACAAAUAGCACUCUUGAAGGCACUUGUCCUUUUUUUGACUUAGAGUGUUUAUUUCCCUUAGUUCUUCUCUAUUUUUCUUUCAAAGAAGCCCCUACUUGAUCCAAGAGACACUCCGCGCCCCAGGUAGAUAUACAGGGUGUACGUUUUGGGAAGACGACGCCUCUCUCCUACCCUGCACUCCUCAGGCCGGCCGAAAAUACGGGCGUUCCCCAAAACAGUAGUAAGUAAAAUCAGGUGCGCUGGGAUUGAGACAUGCGGGAAGGGCACGGAGCGAGCAGCGACAGGACAGAAGCCCCGCAGCCGCAGGGCAGGAGCCCCCACAGCCCCCGCAGCCCCGCUGCUCCCCCGCACGCCCGGCCGGCCUCGCUCGAGCCGCUGCCACCUCCCAGCACAUUCCACGGGACUGGAAAUCCUUUCCUAUCCUUCUGGAGAAUCCUUCCCCACCUCCAAUCCAAUCCGAGUUCUUCAGGGGAUCAGGAAGAGCGAUGAACUUUUCCACCUGAUCUCCCCCCGCGGAUUCCCAGACAUUCCUCAGGCACGCUCGCGGCUCCCUCAGCCACCAGCAUUUCUGUCCUUUCCCCUACACGGGGGGGGAAACCCUGAGCCCUUCCACCAUCCACGGCUUUGUCUGCAAGGGUUAAACCAGGGAAUGGAGCAGGUGAGGCGCCCGAUGGAAACAUGAAUCGAAUGUGGUGAGCGAGCGGUGAGAUGGGGACGGCUCUGGGAGCGGUGCUGCGGUGCGCGCUGCCAACAGCGCCGGGCGCUGGCGAUGGAUGUGGGCACAGGACUGGUGCUUCCUAAUUCCUUCGAGUUUAGAAAGUGGAGCCAGCUCGGUCAGGAGCAAGGCGAGGCAAUACUUUUUUGUCAUUUUAUUUAUUAUUAUUUUUAUUUCUCCCUGUCGUUAGUGUCCUUUCUGUUGGAGACACGCCACCUGAACGCGAAAUCAAACCUACUCACCGGGUGAAAUCGCAGGAGGCGAAGCGGCUCCCGGCUGUCGGAGGGGCUCUCCCCGCAUCCCCUCCCCGCCGGGGCCGCUGUCCGUUCGUGCCCGGCAGGGAAGGGCUGCGGGUCCUGGAGCGGGGAACAGGCGGUGGGAGCGGCGCGGGGAGGCGACACCGCGGAGAGGAACCUCUGCGGAGGAGGGAGGGUGGGCGGAAAUGCCGCUGCUCAUCACCCGUGCCCCUCUCCUGCCCUGGGUAAGAGGAGCAUCUCCCCUUCAUCCCCCUCUUCAUCCUCCCCCCCUUCCUUCUCGGCGCUUCCAGGCUCUCUGUAUGGAAAUCACGAGCUGGCUCGGUGGAAAAAUCUCCCUUUUCUUCGUAUAGUGCCUCUGGAAUGUGUGCGGAAUCUCAAGGUGUGUGGGGGAGAGGGAGGCAGUGCCAGCAUUUAUGGAGCUUGGUGUGUGUCCCCCCCUACCCCUAGUCCUCUCCUCCAUCCGUGCUGUGAGCAGACACGCGUUCAUGGCUAAUAAAAACGCUUUUCCCUGUGUAUAAUUGGGCUGAGAGCUAAACCGAAAGCCAGUCCGUGUCCGGGAACAGCCUGCAGAUCAACCAGGAGCUUUGGCAUCCCUGCGGUGUAGCCUGGCUGUGUUCACCUCAUGCUUCCCGGGAUCGAUAAGCACACUAACCAUACCGAUUAUGUGGUGUAUGCGUUGGGCAGUACGGAGUGAUCGCAGCAUUACACCAGCACCUGUCUGCUGUGCUACAUGUGGUCUUCAAAAAGAGAUGGUAAUUUCUGUGGAGCUUUUUGAUCAAGAAAGUUUUUGUCUUCUCUCCAUUACCUCUGUAAGCACCAGUUCACGGCCGUUUGCCAGUCUGGCAGUUUUAUAUUUCCAGAAUGUCGUGAAAUAUUCGGAAACCACAGAAACCCAAGAUUCCUCUGGCAUCACGUCGGUUUGCUCCUGUCAGCAUGUUUAAUCAUUUUUAUGCUAAAUGAGCUGAUCGUAGUAAUGAUUUGACCUGCUUGGGGUUUUAUUGACUUUUUCAUUAGCAAGGAGGUAAGAAAAGGACUGAAGGAAGGAUGUUACAGUUUGUGAAAGAAAUGCAGUGUCCAUUUCAAUUGUAGUAGCUGUUAAAUAUGUAGGCGUUAUGUAUGCUGCCUUAUGCAGCUAUAAAAAUGAAAGACAUGCCACCUUGCCUCCUUGCCUCAGAAUAUGAUUUCUCUCACAGCAACAAGUAGCACAGGCUCUUCUCUCCCCUUUUCUCCUCCCCUUCAGCCCCUCCUGACAAAAUGCCAGUUAUAAAGGUCAGCCUGUUUAUGUAAAGACUGUGUGUUUCUUAACAAAGACUGCUGCCCGUCAAGCCUGCAAUGACUAUCAAACAGACUUGGGAUUCAAGACACUCAAUAAGAGCACUGUCCAUUUUCUAGGACUGAUAAAAUCCCAGGCAAAAGAGAAGGCAAAGAGCCGUAGCGUGUGACUGGGGUUUCGUCCUCUCUCGAACGAUGUCCUUAGGCUGAACUUGCUUUGCAGCUCCUUCACACCAAAGGCAGCUUAAAUCAGCCAAGGAGAAUUUUGAGUCUAACCAACCCCACCCUCCCAAUAGAAGAGAAGAGAUCGACUUCAUUAGUCUUUGGCUUCGCAAUGAGGUGUUUUCAUUUCAUAGCAUCCAGAGGUGCAGUGCACACGGUCUGAUCUUUAUUUCACUGUGCUCUCUUUCCCUCCCUGCCACGUUCUUUCACCCAAAGAGCAGUACAACUUGGUUUCCUCAACUAGUAUAACCUCUGCUGGCCCUUUUCCACUUUAAAUCUUAUAAGAACAUUCUGAUAUUAUUCACUUCCUAGAAUUAUAGAAUCACAGAAUGGUUUGGUUAGAAGGGACAUUAAAGAUCAUCUCGUUCCAACCCCCUAACACAAGCAGGGACACCUUCCACUAGACCAGGUUGUUUUUGGUUUUUUAACCUAAAGGUUAAAAGAAGUUACUUUAUAAUUACAACACAGAUCUGCAACAGUGGUCAACUCCAAGACCUGAUUGUGGCCACAGUUCACUUUUGGCUCUUAAAAAUCACCCUGAAGCAGAGUUAAGGAGUUGUAGAGGACUAUGAUGCUUUUUGUUCAAUGAUGUUAGUAAUCCAUGGCCUUAGGAUGUAAUAUCACAAAGUCUCAUCCUAGGGCAGAAUAAUGAAAUCACAAGCAAUGGAAUGGGGCAGAAACUUAUAUCAGUUCCCAAAAUGCUAAAUGCAAACUGGGACCCAAUCUGAACUGAGGAGCUGCACAUCUGAUGUCAGAGGGGAGGGGCACUUCAAGUCCUCCCAUCCUAAAAGCCUUGUGGCCCUGAAUUACAGGCCAUUAGAUUCCUUUGAUCUGUAAAUCUGCGUUAAAUAGCAGCGUGAUUCUGUGUCGGUAAAGGCAGGUUUUAACAGCUUAUCCCAUAAUAUUUUAAUUUUUCUUUACUUCAUCUAUUCAGCCUUUUCACCCUUUUUCUCCCAGGACCUGCUUAUGCUUCCCUUUAGCUACCGAAAAAUGUGUGUAAUUUAUUAAGCCAGUUCAGUAGUUCUCUUAGUUUCCAGCACACAAACCUAUUAUGCAAACAAUACUGUCACCUUCUUGCAGUGCCUUCUCCCGGCUGUAAUGAAUUCUCUGCAUGCUACUCUGCUGUAAAUUCUCCAUCUAAAAAUUCCACGCACUACGUGUUUUGUCAGGGGAAACUGCACUUGACUUUUGAAACAGUUGGGAGGAACAAAAUGAUAACCUACUAAAGUGCCUUGCCCUUAACUUGAAAUUAUGGCAAGUAAUUAAAGUUAGAGCAGAAAGACUUAAACUUUGGACUGCUUAUGUUCUUAGCGUUUUUGCUCGGAUGAGGGGUUUUUUUUUUUAGAUGUCUGAUUUGAAUGUCAAAUUUGCAUAUUCAUCUAGAAAACAUAGGGAAUGCUUAAUUACCUGUGUCCAGUGUUCGUAUUUUUCUUGGGAAACAAUGUUUCAUAUACUCGUGGGUUUCAUUUCUAGUUACUAUUUGCAUCCAUAAAUUGAAGUGGGUGUCUAAACAAGUCCUGUAUUUGCUGAUUACACAAACAAAUAUGCCAUAUUUAGAAUUUUGCUUUAUAAUCAUAUCAGAGAUACCUGGAAUUGCAGAACAGCCCGGGUUGGAAGGAAAAGGGAGCCUAGAUGAGAUUAUCUAAUGCCCUGUUCACUCACAUAUUGAAACCCUCCAGCGAUGGGGCACUGCCAGGGAGGCAGCAGACUCCCCCAAGAAGUGUCAGCUCAGCAAACUGGCCCUUCUGUUCCCCACAAAAGGAAUUCUCCUGCGACAAUAAUCCAACCUCUUCUCUGUAUGGAAGCUGUUUUGACUCAGGGCACAGACCACUAACCUUGGUGACACCUCCAACCUUUAUGGAGCAUUGCCCUUGUCUUGUUCCCAGCCUCUUGCAGAGCCUUGUGCCUGUUAUCCACGGGCACCUGGGAAUGUGGAGCAGUGCCAGAGGAGACACUGCCACUGCAGUGCUGUGGUGGGUCUGGCUGAACUGGAGUUGGUUUCCCAUCCCUCCCAGGGCUGUGCUUUGCAGUGGGAGCUGGAAAAGUGUUGAUAACACACCAGGGGAUGAGCAAGGUCCUGGGAGGGGACACAGCUGGGCCAGCUGUCCCCAAAGUGACCAAAGGGAUAUUCCAGACCAUGUGACAUCAGCUCAGAGGUAAAAGCCAAGGGAAGCAGGAAGAAGGGGGGCAUUUGUUAUUUACAACAUUUACCUUCCAGAGCAGCCACUCCAUGUGCUGAAGCCCUUCCUGGGAAGUGGCCGGACAUUUCUUGCUGAUGGGAAGUAGAGAACAAAAUGUUUGGGUUUUUUCUUUGCUUGUGUGCACACAAACUUUUGCUUCAGUAAACUACCCCAUCUCAACCUGGGAGUUAUUCUCUCUCCCCCACCUGGCUGAGAAGGGGACAGAAGCUGAGAAGGGGGACUGACAGAGUGGCUUAGUGAGCACCUGGUGUCCAGCCAAGGGCAAACCACCCCAGCUGGGCAGGAACUGUCACUCUUGCCCCCAGUCCCUUCAGUCACUGUAUUCAGCCAGGGAGAGAGAGAGGAUGGGAAAUCCUGCAAACCAUGUGUCCCAUCUGCAUGGUGGGCCUGUCCCAGGGAAGGCAGGCUGUGAGUCCAGUAGCUGCUCUCUCUCUCAUACUACCUGAUACUCCUCAGCCUGCUCCCCUCCUCCCAGAGCUCCCAGGUUCCCCCACACCAGGACACUCUCCCCAUGCCGUGUACUGCACUAGAGCACUUGGCUGUGGAGCUGGUGGCCCUGGAUCUGCUCACUUCAGUGACCGUGAUGAAUUCCCCCCCAGCCUUCUCUUCUCCAAGGAGAGAACACCUAAUUCCUUCAGUGCUUCCUCACAGGGCAGGUUCUCCAGCCCUUUGAUCAUCUUCCUGGCCUUCCUUUGGCCCCUCUCUUGUCUUUCUGCUUCUUUCUUGAGCUGUGGGGACACGAACUGGACACGGUGCUCCAGGUUCCUUCCACAGGCUCUGGUGGAAGGUGUCCCUGCCCAGGGCAGGGGGUUGGAACCAGAUGGUCUUUUAAGGUCCCCUCCAACCCAAACCAUUCUGUGACUGGAGGUGCAGCAUGACAGGUGAUGAGUAGGAUGGGAAGAUCCCACUCUGUCCCCACAGAUGCAGCCCAGGACCCCAUCUGCCUUUUAGCCACAGCAGGCACUGCUGACUCAUGAUCACUCCUUGUCCACCAACAUAUUUUGACCUAUACAUUUCUGCUUUAGCAGAGAUAUGAUUCACUGGAAUAAAAUUAUAUCCACUGAGUUUUUCCUCACUUGCAGAGGAGAUUAUUUUUAGGAACUCCCAGCAUUUUGCUUACAGAGAAGGAACUAGUAGUGUAGAAUUUCUUUAAUUUCUCCCCAAAAGUCAAAGAAAUACAGCAUGUUUGCCUAUUCACUUGCUCUAUCCUUUGGCAGCAAGGGAUAAACUUAAAAGGCUGGGUUUUUUUCAGGCUCUUGCUAUCAUUAAAGCACCAGUUUUCUGAGAUAGAACAACCUCUUUGAAGAUAUGGUAUUUACUGUUUUCUGAUGGUAUUAAUUGCAAGACCUGUAAGCUCACAUGAGCUUACUGGACAGAGCCAGACACACACUACUAGGAGGAAUCUUUUUUUAUUUAUUUAAGUUGAGACAUAUCUUAGCCACGUUUCCAUGACCAGUGGCCACGCAGGCAUUUUUAAAAUAACCUCUGGUGUGUUCAGGUAUUCACUUUUUCUCGCUAGCCAGACUUCAGACAAUCACAGAAGUCUCUUGUUACUUUCAAGAAAGCGAAAAGAUAUUUGUAGAGGAAAAAAGUAACGCAGGGGAUACAUUUUAAAUCAUAUUGAAGUGUUGUGGUGGAGAGUCCUAGGCAUCAAGUUUGCCUGUUUUCCUUAGGAGAAAAAUAUCCAGUGGCUGCAGUACCCCAGUACCAGAAAGAAUAUCCUACAGAAGUGGUGUAAUAUGAACUGCCAGGAGUUGAUAGGAUGGAUACAGAAUGGAGGCCUCUCUCCCACAGGCAGUGACUUCACAAGCAGUGUGAGAAGCACUGGCCUGACACAGAGUCAGCAGAUUUGUAGAGGAAUUGAGGUGUAAUUUCAGUGUACUGUGUUUAAAUACAGAAGCCAUGUAGCUUCCAUUGAGGUUUAGCCCCGGUAGACCUUAGUGUUGUCACAUAGACUUCAAUAAAACCUACCUGUUGGUGCUGUGUUACUUCUGUGUGGUCAGAAAUCAAUCUCUUCCCAGAGAGGUCAGAAUCUGAAAUGCAUUUCAAUUAAUGGUGGAGGACAGAAGAAGUGUUGAAAUGAAGAUAAGACCCCUCAGUGCAUUUUCUGUGGUGCACAUAAAAAAUCAAGACCCACAUUCAGACAAAAUGAGUUUUUUGAGGGGUGCUGGAGUCCAGUGAAGUGUUGUUACAGCUGACACCUGGUACAAAAGACAGACUUAAGUUGUAGGAAAAGCAGUUCUGUAUUCAAGAUGUAAGGGAUCCUGAUGGGAGUCUUGCACCUGCCCUUUAUGAAUGUUUGCAGAAGUAAAAUAUGUAUUUGCCAGAAUGUGUAAAAGAAAUUUGUCAUGGACCAAAAAGGGAAGAGAAGAACAGGUAUCAGGGAAAGUCUCAGUUGAUGCUUUGCAGUGUCAAGGAAUUGCACACUAGAAAGGCAGAGUUUUGCUGAGUUUUAGGGUGGCUAUGCUGUGAAGAAAAAAGCUCGUAGAGAAAGCAAUUUGCAUUUGGAAAAGAGAUUAUUUUACAGAUAUUGGUUCAAGUUGAUAGUCAUUCCCUGAAUAGCAUCUGGUGUAUUAUCUCAAUAGAUCUUGUUAUCUCCCAUAGAAAUGAGCCAAGAAAAGUAUCUGUAGUAAGAUUUGAAAAUAACCUUUGUUAUUAUAUGUCAUUAACUCACAGGAAUCAAAAUACGUGGCCACCAAUGACAAUGAAUAAGAACAAUACAGUUUCUUGAGCAGUCUGUUCUGUGCAUUUCCAGUCUCUAGAAUAAUAAUAAUAAAAUAAUAAAAUACAGCAA